rnacentral:rRNA from 1 species
CCUACGGGAUGCUGCAGUGGGGAAUAUUGGGCAAUGGGCGCAAGCCUGACCCAGCAACGCCGCGUGAAUGAAGAAGUCUUUCGGGUUGUAAACUUCUGUCCUCAGGGAAGAAGCAAGUGACGGUACCUGACGAAUAAGCCACGGCUAACUACGUGCCAGCAGCCGCGGUAAUACGUAGGUGGCAAGCGUUAUCCGGAUUUACUGGGUGUAAAGGGAGAGUAGGCGGGUCAGUAAGUCUGAAGUGAAAACCAGGGGCUCAACCUAUGGACUGCUCUGGAAACUGUGGAACUUGAGUGCAGGAGAGGUAAGCGGAAUUCCUAGUGUAGCGGUGAAAUGCGUAGAUAUUAGGAGGAACACCAGUGGCGAAGGCGGUCUACUGGACGGCAACUGACGCUGAGGCUCGAAAGCGUGGGGAGCAAACAGGAUUAGAGACCCCGGUAGUC